rnacentral:rRNA from 1 species
GACGAACGCUGGCGGCGUGCCUAAUACAUGCAAGUCGAGCGCAGGUAACUGACGGAACUCUUCGGAGGGAAGGCAGUGGAAUGAGCGGCGGACGGGUGAGUAACACGUAAGGAACCUGCCUCACGGAUUGGGAUAACUCCGAGAAAUCGGAGUUAAUACCGGAUCGUUAAACGGCCCGCAUGGUCCGAUGAUGAAAGCAGCUCCGGCGUCCCCGUGCGAUGGCCUUGCGGGGCAUCAGCUAGUUGGUGGGGUAACGGCCCACCAAGGCGACGAUGCAUAGCCGACCUGAGAGGGUGAUCGGCCACACUGGGACUGAGACACGGCCCAGACUCCUACGGGAGGCAGCAGUAGGGAAUCUUCCACAAUGGACGAAAGUCUGAUGGAGCAACGCCGCGUGAGUGAUGAAGGUUUUCGGAUCGUAAAACUCUGUUGUAAGGGAAGAACACGUACGAGAGGAAAUGCUCGUACCUUGACGGUACCUUACGAGAAAGCCACGGCUAACUACGUGCCAGCCGCCGCAGUAAAAC